rnacentral:rRNA from 1 species
CUGAAACCCGCCUCCAUGAAGUUGGAUUCGCUAGUAAUCGCGCAUCAGCCAUGGCGCGGUGAAUACGUUCCCGGGCCUUGUACACACCGCCCGUCAAGCCAUGGAAGCCGGGAGUGCCUGAAGUGCGUGACCGCAAGGAGCGUCCUAAGGCAAUACCGGUGACUGGGGCUAAGUCGUAACAAGGUAAC